UACGUAGGGUGCGAGCGUUAAUCGGAAUUACUGGGCGUAAAGCGUGCGCAGGCGGUUUUGUAAGCCAGAUGUGAAAUCCCCGGGCUUAACCUGGGAAUGGCAUUUGGGACUGCAAGGCUUGAGUGCGGCAGAGGAGACUGGAAUUCCUGGUGUAGCAGUGAAAUGCGUAGAUAUCAGGAGGAAUACCGAUGGCGAAGGCAGGCCUCUGGGCUGACACUGACGCUCAUGCACGAAAGCGUGGGGAGCAAACAGG
rnacentral:rRNA from 1 species